AACAACACUGCACCCUUCAGUUUCAGCUCGGGGUGCAGUCGAGGUCAUCCAUGAUCCUCUCCGUGGCCUCUAUCCAAUAUUCAGCCACAUUAGGGGCAACUCUGCCGAUACCCCUAAAGAUCUCAGCCCCAUUAGACCUGAGUUGUUUUGUUACUGACCCACGACCCAUAGCACCAGUAUUGGGCCCAACGACCCUCUCCAAAAUUUGCAGCAUAGCUUGGGACAGUGCGUCGUCCCUAACUGCCUGAUCAUGUGACCCAGUCUCAAUCACAGGUGAAGCCAGUACCUCUCUU
rnacentral:lncRNA from 1 species